rnacentral:tRNA from 1 species
CUAACUUUAGUUAUAUAAUAAUAUCCCUUUGUUAAUGGGAAGGAUACUUGUUGGC